rnacentral:rRNA from 1 species
AGAGUUUGAUCAUGGCUCAGAUUGAACGCUGGCGGUAUGCUUAAGACAUGCAAGUCGAACGGAAUCUUCGGAUUCAGUGGCGGACGGGUGAGUAGCACGUGGGAAUCUACUGAGUAGUGGGGGACAGCCCGGCGAAAGCCGGAUUAAUACCGCAUACGCCCUACGGGGGAAAGGCGCAAGCCGCUAUUUAAUGAGCCCGCGUAAGAUUAGCUAGUUGGUAAGGUAAAGGCUUACCAAGGCGACGAUCUUUAGCUGGUCUGAGAGGAUGGCCAGCCACAUCGGGACUGAGACACGGCCCGGACUCCUACGGGAGGCAGCAGUCGGGAAUAUUGGACAAUGGGCGCAAGCCUGAUCCCAGCAAUACCGCGUGUGUGAAGAAGGCCUGCGGGUUGUAAAGCACUUUCAGUUGAGAAGAUAAUGACGUUACCAACAGAAGAAGCACCGGCUAACUCCGUG